GGCAGAGAAGAGAUGGAGAACUUCCGUGGGAGGAGAGGAAAGAACAGUGGACGUGUUUUAGAUUCAGACGGGAACCCAUUGCCAUCUGAACCUAGACGAC
rnacentral:misc_RNA from 1 species